GCCUCCUUAGCUCAGUGGUAGAGCACUCGCCUUGUAAGCGAAAGGUCGUCAGUUCAAUCCUGACAGGGGGCUCCA
rnacentral:tRNA from 26 species